UUCACUUCCCCCCGUCCCUAAUUCACGUCUCUCUCUCAGUUUCAAAUCCCCCAAAACCCUUCUAUUCAAAUCCCCCAAAAUUCACGUUCCCUACUUCUCAAUUUUAAAAAUCCCUUCAACAACAUCCUUUCCCUAAUUCUCUCAAUCCGAGCAGGAGAUUGGAUUUUCAUUGCUAACAGGUUUUGUUGCAGAGAAACACCUUUGGGUUUUCGGAGGAUAGAAUUUAGAAGCAGAAAAUUCCAGGUCCAAACCACAAGCCAAUCUUUGCUAAUGCGGGCAUUUAAUCAGGCUAUCAGAUUGACAAGGAACUCGAUCAUUUGAAGAACGCGUUUGAGGUAAUACUAUCUUCCUAGUGCUUUUAGCUGUAGAAUUAGUGAUACAUCCCUUGUCAAAUAUUUCUCAUGUUUUUUAAGUAUGAAUGUUUGAAUUCUGUUUGGAAAUAGACAAGGAAAAGGGUGAUGGUAAAUUCGUUCAUAAUUUGAGCUUUGAGCAGGUAAAGCCUUAGUUCUUUUGUAGACUUUAUAUUAUCAAUUUUUCUAGCUUAGUGGAGUAUUUAUCUUGAGCAUAGUAUCAAAUUUUGUUUUGAUAUGUUAAAUAAUAUAUUGCAUUUCUAUUGCAUUAACAGGAACAGAUGAUGUUAUUGUGGACAUGAAGAUGUGAUGUUUGUCAAAAGGAGCUCAAAGGAAAAUAAAAAAUGCUAGAUGAAUGUUAGAUCUAGAAUUUUAUAUUUGUAUACAUUGAUUUUCAUUUUACAUUGUAUAUAUUGAUUAUUUUAAAAUUAUUAUGCAAAUUUUUUAUGUAACAGUCCUUUUAUAUUUGAGGCA